GAGCAAUGUAAGAGCGCCGUGUGAGAGAGCAGUGUAAGAGUGCUGUGUGAGAGAGCAGUGUAAGAGUGCUGUGUGAGAGAGCAGUGUAAGAGUGCUGUAUGAGAGAGCAGUGUAAGAGUGCUGUGUGAGAGCAGUGUAAGAGUUCUGUAUGAGAGAGCAGUGUAAGAGCGCUGUGUGAGAGAGCAGUGUAAGAGUGCUGUGUGAGAGAGCAAUGUAAGAGCCCUGUGUGAGAGAGCAGUGAAGAGUGCUGUGUGAGAGGGCAGUGUAAGAGUGCUGUUUGAGAGAGCAAUGUAAGAGCGCUGUGUGAGAGAGCAGUGUAAGAGUGCUGUUUGAGAGAGCAAUGUAAGAGCGCUGUGUGAGAGAGCAAUGUAAGAGCGCUGUGUGAGAGAGCAAUGUAAGAGCGCUGUGUGAGAGAGCAGUGAAAAGUGCUGUGUGAGAGAGCAGUGUAAGAGCGCUGUGUGAGUGCAAUGUAAGAGAGAGCAGUGUCUUAGCGCUGUGUGAGAGAGCAGUUUAAGAGCGCUGUGGGAGACAGUGUAGAAGCGCUGUGUGAGAGUGCCUUUAUGUGAGAGCAAUGUUAGAUUCCUGUGUGAG